rnacentral:lncRNA from 1 species
CUCUCUCUACCUAUGGAGAUACAUCUAAAGAAUGCUCCACUUGAAUACCAUGUCCUCUUGAUGCACUUGCAAGAGGCAAAAGAGAAUAGGAUGUAAGUUGUCCAGUGUUGCCCUGCUGGACCUCUUGCUGCUCUUGCUACUCCUCCAUGCCAUCUUGCCUUUGGAGAACUAAAUUUUUAUUGAAGAUGACAUUCCUACUGAUGACAACCUUCCUUUUCAAGGUAUCCCAC